rnacentral:misc_RNA from 1 species
GAAGAUGACAUUUUGUCAUUUAGUAAGGAGCAUUAAGCCUUCUCAGUUUUAACGUAUAGAAAUGGGUAACAAGAACGUUUUCUUUUGUCCUCUGGCUAUACACGGCCCGAAGCUUUCGUAUUGAAAAAAAUGCAAGAAACUCACAACAUCAUCUUCAGCUAAAGCCUAUCUAUAAAUGGUAUCAAAAUGAGAAAAGAAAAAACUGGGUAGCAGAUAAAAAAAAAAUUAGGAAAUUUCACAAAAACGCAAGGGCAUGAGGGGAAAUUGUGAAACCAAAAGCGGAUACAAUUCGUCAAUAAUAUUAUUCAACCAACACAACAAAAUUAGUAACAGCAUUUUAAUGAAAAUGGGUCAGCCGGGCUGCUCUAAUACCAAAUGGUUAGUAAGGGUAAUAAUAUUAAUAAUGGCCAUCUCCUUCUAAACAACUACCCUAACUAACCACCAAAUCCUAUUCUACCAGUAUUUGUGAAAUUUUCAGGUAUUUGAUUAUAAUAUCAAUUGAGGGGUACAUACAUUUCGACCAUGGCAACCACCUCUUCUGGGUCAUCAACUGCGUGCUCAUUUUUCCAGGCCUCAAUAUCUUCUCCAGAACUGAAAUGAAAACCAACAAAAACUGAAGGGUUAGGUUAUGAAAAUGAACCAGACCUAAAUGGGGCACGUGGCGGGCCCAUGCAGCGAGUAUACAUACACAAAGUAAAACGCUUGGUGUGGUAGUCUGUGCAGUGCUCGCUGCUCAAGGUCCAGUAAAACCGUUAAAACCUUAAUUUUUUUAUGAGAUAGAGAGAAA